rnacentral:rRNA from 1 species
AAACGUAGGGGGCAAGCGUUGCCCGGAUUCACUGGGCGUAAAGCGGGUGUAGGCGGUCCUCUAAGUCGGAUGUGAAAUCCUACGGCUCAACCGUGGAACUGCAUCCGAUACUGGAGGACUUGAGGACGGUAGAGGUCGGUGGAAUUCCCGGUGUACCGGUGAAAUGGGCAGAUAUCGGGAGGAACACCAGUGGCGAAGGCGGCCGACUGGGCCGAUCCUGACGCUGAGACCCGAGAGCCAGGGUAGCGAACCGG